AAGCAUUGUUUCUUAAUCUGAGUAUAUCAAUAUUACCUUGUUCAGAAUUAAAGAGAAAUCUUGAGUUUAUGGACUUCAGGGGGAGUAUGGUCACAAGGCUGAAACUUAAAGGAAUUGACGGAAGGGCACACCAGGAGUGGAGCCUGCGGCUUAAUUUGACUCAACACGGGAAAACUUACCAAGACCGAACAGUAGAGGGAAUGACAGAUUAAGAGUUCUUUCAUGAUUUAUUGGGUAGUGGUGCAUGGCCGUUCUUAGUUGGUGGAGUGAUUUGUCAGGUUAAUUCCGGUAACGAACGAGACUGAAACCUAUUAAUUAGUUUUCUGCCUAUAAGACAGAAAUGUUCGCAAGAACAGGUGCGUAAGUACCACUUCUUAAAGGGACACAUUUCAAUUGUCCUAUUUUAAUUGUAGUUAU
rnacentral:rRNA from 1 species